rnacentral:rRNA from 1 species
AUUGAACGCUGGCGGCAGGCCUAACACAUGCCAGUCGAGCGGAUGAAGGGAGCUUGCUCCUGGAUUCAGCGGCGGACGGGUGAGUAAUGCCUAGGAAUCUGCCUGGUAGUGGGGGAUAACGUCCGGAAACGGGCGCUAAUACCGCAUACGUCUUGAGGGAGAAAGUGGGGGAUCUUCGGACCUCACGCUAUCGGAUGAGCCUAGGUCGGAUUAGCUAGUUGGUGGGGUAAAGGCCUACCAAGGCGACGAUCCGUAACUGGUCUGAGAGGAUGAUCAGUCACACUGGAACUGAGACACGGUCCAGACUCCUACGGGAGGCAGCAGUGGGGAAUAUUGGACAAUGGGCGAAAGCCUGAUCCAGCCAUGCCGCGUGUGUGAAGAAGGUCUUCGGAUUGUAAAGCACUUUAAGUUGGGAGGAAGGGCAGUAAGUUAAUACCUUGCUGUUUUGACGUUACCAACAGAAUAAGCACCGGCUAACUUCGUG